UGUUUUGUGAUUUUUUUGUAUGGAGC
rnacentral:piRNA from 1 species